rnacentral:piRNA from 1 species
UGACAGGCGUCCUAGGAAAGCAGUGAAGAC